AACAAACGCUGGCGGCGUGCCUAAUACAUGCAAGUCGAACGGGGAAAGCUUUCGGGUGAGUACUAGUGGCGCACGGGUGAGUAACGCGUGGAUAAUCUGCCUUAGAGUGGGGGAUAACUAGUCGAAAGAUUAGCUAAUACCGCAUAAGACCACAAGAACUGCGGUUCAAGGGGUCAAAGGUUUUUCGCUCUAAGAUGAGUCCGCGUAAGAUUAGCUAGUUGGUGAGGUAAUGGCUCAGCAAGGCGACGAUCUUUAACUGGUCUGAGAGGAGGAUCAGGCACACUGGAACUGAGACACGGACCAGACUCCUACGGGAGGCAGCAGUAGGGAAUAUUGCACAAUGGAGGAAACUCUGAUGCAGCGACGCCGCGGGAGUGAUGAAGGCCUUCGGGUCGUAAAGCUCUGUCGCAAGGGAAUAACACAAUGAAUGUACCUUGCAAGAAAGGAUCGGCUAACUUCGUGCCAGCCGCCGCGGUAAGAC
rnacentral:rRNA from 1 species